rnacentral:tRNA from 2 species
GGAGAGGUGGCAGAGUGGUCGAAUGCGGCGGUCUCGAAAACCGUUGUGGGUUUGCGCCCACCCAGGGUUCGAAUCCCUGUCUCUCCGCCA